rnacentral:rRNA from 1 species
GACGAACGCUGGCGGCGUGCUUAACACAUGCAAGUCGAACGGAAAGGCCCUGCUUUUGUGGGGUGCUCGAGUGGCGAACGCGUGAGUAACACGUGAGUAACCUGCCCUUGACUUUGGGAUAACUUCAGGAAACUGGGGCUAAUACCGGAUAGGAGCUCCUGUUGCGUGGUGGGGGUUGGAAAGUUUCGGCGGUUGUGGAUGGACUAGCGGCUUAUCAGCUUGUUGGUUGGGUAGUGGCUUACCAAGUAUGUGACGGGUAGCCGGCCUGAGAGGGUGACCGGCCUCAUUGCGACUACGGUACGGCCCAGACUCCUACGGGGGGCAGCAGUGGGGAAUAUUGCACAAUGAGCGGGAGCCUGAUGCGGCAACGCCGCGUUCGUGAUGACGGCCUUCUGGUUGUAAACCGCUGUCGCCUGUGACGAAGCGUGAGUGACGGUAAUGGGUAAAGAAGCACCGGCUAACUACGUG